rfam:Taenia asiatica genome assembly, scaffold: TASK_scaffold0000176
GUCGGUUAUGGCGAUAUGCGACCAGUGACAGUUGGAGGAAAGUUAGUUGGUUCUUUAUGCGCUAUCGCCGGUGUCCUAACCAUCGCCCUCCCUGUUCCUGUUAUUGUAUCAAAC